UACGGAGGGUGCGAGCGUUGUUCGGAUUCACUGGGUAUAAAGAGUUCGUAGGCGGCCCCGUAAGUCAGAGGUGAAAGCUGUCGGCUCAACCGACAAAUUGCCUUUGAAACUGCAGGGCUUGAGUCCGGGAGAGGAAGGUGGAAUUCCUGGUGUAGCGGUGAAAUGCGUAAAUAUCAGGAGGAACACCGGUGGCGAAGGCGGCCUUCUGGCCCGGCACUGACGCUGAGGAACGAAAGCCAGGGGAGCGAACGGGAUUAGAUACCCCGGUAGUCCUGGCCGUAAACUAUGGGCACUAGGUGUUGGAGGAGUCUACCCCUUCAGUGCCGCAGCUAAUGCAUUAAGUGCCCCACCUGGGGAGUACGGUCGCAAGGCUGAA
rnacentral:rRNA from 1 species